ensembl:lncRNA
UGGGAUAUUAAGGGGUUGGAUAGCUUGUUUGGUUGGGUGUGUUCGGAUUAGAUGUGGAGUGUGGGUGGUGAGUGUGUGGGGAGUGGAGGGACCGGCCUGCCGAGGGAGGACGGGGCCAGGGGAUGGGGAGGGGCGAUCUCUGGGAUGGUAGAGGGUCGGAACAUACCGGUUUUGCUGGGAAGAGGCAGAUAUGGCGGGAGCCGGGGGGUAGGCCNCACUCGGGGAACGAGGGCUCGCUGCUUAAAAGCGGUUCCCCGUUCUAGCCCCUCAGAAUCAGAAUCACCUAGGGGCUCAACCCGUGGUACUGGUGAUAGGCAAUGUCCGGGCCCUGAGCUCCGGCUGCUGCUGCUUAAUGCCAGGUCAGUGAAUAAUAAAGCUCCCCUCGUUCGGGACCUGCUUUCGGACGAGGUGGCUGACCUGGCAUGUGUGACUGAAACCUGGCUGGGCCCUGAGGGAGGUGUUCCUCUCUCGGAAAUCUGCCCAGCCGGGUUUCAGGUGUGGCACCAGCCGCGACCUCAGGGAAGGGGUGGCGGAGUGGCGAUUAUUGCCCGGAAGACGCUUAGCCUGCGCAGGCUCGCUGCUCCUGAGAUUGCGGGUUGUGAGUUCCUCUUUGUGAAGUUGGACCUAGGGGUUCAGGUGGGCUUGUUGCUCGCGUACCUGCCUCCCAACUACGUGUCGACUGCCCUGCCUGCGCUACUUGAGGAGGUGGCCGGGCUGGUCGUUGAGUCUCCCAGACUUAUAGUCUUAGGGGACUUUAAUGUGCCAUCACUCGGCGAAUCCUCGGGGUUGGCGCAGGAGUUCAUGGCUUCCAUGGCAACCAUGGACCUGACCCAGGUAGUUCAGGGCCCGACUCACGAGAAGGGACACACACCCGACAUGGUAUUCCUCUCAGGACAGUUGAGUAAUGAGCUGAUUUUAAGGGGCUUAGAUAUUGUGCCCUUGUCAUGGUCAGAUCAUUCUCUACUACGGCUUGACUUCAGGGUGCCAAUCCUUCACCGUAGGGAGGCGGAACCGAUUAGGUGGUUCCGCCCCAGACGCCUAAUGGACCCGAUGGGCUUUCAAAGGGCGCUUGGGGAAGUACCGGACUCGCUUAUACACAAUUCGGCGGAGUCCCUGGCAAUGGCCUGGAAUAUGGCCGCAAAGGGGGCUCUUGAUCGGAUUGCACCUAUGCGACCUCUCUGUGGUAGUAGACCCAGAAGGUCUCCUUGGUUCACCGAGGAACUCAGGGGGAUGAAACGCCAGAAGAGACGUCUAGAGAGCCGUUGGAGGGCCAGUAAAUCCGAGUCUGACUGAACACAACUAAGUUCUUAUAUUAAGACUUAUC